UACGUAGGGGGCAAGCGUUGUCCGGAUUCAUUGGGCGUAAAGAGCGUGCAGGCGGCCAGGUAGGUCGGUUGUGAAAACUGGAGGCUCAACCUUCAGAGGUCGACCGAAACCAUCUGGCUAGAGUCCGGGAGAGGAGAGUGGAAUUCCUGGUGUAGCGGUGAAAUGCGCAGAUAUCAGGAAGAACACCCGUGGCGAAAGCGGCUCUCUGGAACGGUACUGACGCUGAGACGCGAAAGCUAGGGGAGCAAACGGG
rnacentral:rRNA from 1 species